rnacentral:lncRNA from 1 species
UCACAGCAUAUGGAGGUUCCCAGUCUAGGGGUCUAAUCAGAGCCACAGCUGCCAGCCACAGCCACAGCAACACCAGAUCUUAGCUGUGUCUGGGACUUAUACUACAGUUCACAGCAACAAGGGGUCCUUAACCCACUGAGCAAGGCCAGGAAUUGAACCUGAAACCUCAUGGAUCCUAGUUGGACUUGUUUCUACUGAACCACAAUGGGAACUCCUAGUUGGAAAUAUUUUAUACAAAAAAGUCUUUCUUAACAACUCUUUGGCUACCUGAAAAUAAAAUUUGUACAAGAAAGGCAGAAUGAAUGUUUUAUUCUCCCUCUUUGUUUACCAAUUGCCACUAAUGUGUAAUUUAGCAACUUCCCAGAGCAAUUUCUGAGUUAAUUGUAAGUUCUUUCUUUUCUUAGUAUCACUAUAACUUGUGGAUGUUAACAUCACUGAUGAAAUAAAUGAUUUAGAAUAUGUUCUGCAGGCAAUGGUGAACCAGCAAAGGCCAUCCUCAACGUUCAAACAUAAAGCACAUCUGCAAAUGUAUCUAGAAAUCAAACAAUAAAUUUACUCAUUUUAGGAGGAAUCCUUUCCCACAAAGCUAAAGCAAAAGCAAAAUCUCUAAACACAGCUAAAAUUUUAGCUUGAACAAGGAAAACUUCCAGGAUUCUGUACUUGUUCUCUGAUUCUCUUCUUUCCUUUACUCACUUUGCUGGCCUUCGUCUCAUGAAUGAAUGUCUGGUUGAGGCUAGAGAUGCAGUGCCUCGGGCACACCUAAGGAUUUCAUCUUAUGUAAAUUACAUUUAUAAAAUCUACAUUUCCUGUAACUAGUAUUUGCACUUUCAUUUUUAUAAAAUAAGAGCAAGUAAAUUCUCGAAAUAUAGAACACUGCUCUAAUAAGUUAAAACUAUUGUGUGGAUGAUGGAGAUGAGGCUGAUGAAGCACUGACCAGCAGUGUGAGAGUCCAACAGGAUGGUCAGCAGAUGUACCAAGGCCAGAAUUGAAUCUGCAAAAGGAGGGUUGGGUGUUUUGAUAGGGAAUGCAUGAAAUUGUUUGUUUGUUUGUUUGUUUGUUGAAAAAACUUUGUUUCCAUUUGGUCCAAGGCUGGGGAGAGGGCUCCAGGGUGGUUAAAAAGUGACUACUGGCUGCAGGAAGGGGCUUUAGGCAGAAACUCUCACACCAGAGGGGCUCCUCAAAGGCCGCUGGGCUCCAGAGGCUCCUAGUCCUGCUUGAGGGUGAGCCUUUCCAAGAGAUACUCAUCCAGCUCAGCCUGGGGACCAGCCAUCCUGCAGAAGUUGGUCAAGUGGUCUCCGAUCUUUGCCUGCUCCUCUAGGACGUGGCUCUCCAGGAGGUCACAGAGGUGGGGGGUCUGCUCAGGCAGAACCCUGGGCAUGUGGAUCCAAAAGGGCAUGGUUCGGGUUCCCUUCCAGGACCAUGGCAGCUAAACCCCAUAGCAUCCUGGGUUUUACCCCACACAUCCUGAGAUGGCUUCUUUCUGGAAGAGGAUGGAGCUGCCUUGCUGGUUUUGCAUUUUUAAGAGGUGCUUGGUGCCCUUGCACUUCUCCUUGGCCAAUUCUCCAUAAAAAAAAAAAAAGUGGUCCACACCCUCUAGAGCUACAUUGUUGCGGAUGAAAUAGCCCAGAGAGAGGCAGGUGUGGGAGGCCCCCUGAUGGAGGUUGACCAGGCGGCUGAGAGUGGCCUCCACCUGGCAAGAAUAAUUCUGAUGCAUCUGGAAGCCCAGAGUUGAUCCAUAAUAAUGAGUUAAGCUCCGAAAAUGAUGUUAGCUGGUCACAGAGGCCGAGGAUAGCUGAGUGACUACCUCUGAAAGUUUCGAUUGGAAAAAAGUUUGGAGGGUGGUCAGAGGCUGGAGGAAGGGGUCUACCUGGGUCUGUUCCAUUGAAACACUGUUGAAGCGAGGGACACCUGUGGGACUGCCGAGCGCACUGCCUGAUGGGGAAUGCAUGAAACUGUUCUCGGCUGUGACAUGCUGGUUUUGCUAGGUAAUACUUUUCAUUUAGGAGUAUUUUGAAAAGCAAACAAAUUAAAUCAAACUAUCGAUUAUUCUAUUCCUUAAGGUUAACAUUUGGGUGUUUCUUCCUGUAAUUCUCUAUGUACAUAAUGAACGGUAUUGGAAUUAUCUAGGACAUAUUGUUUAGUAACCCCUUUUAAAAGUUUAAAUACGCUGGGAGUUCCCAUUGUGGCUCAUCAGGUUACUAACCCAACUAGUAUCCAUGAGGAUGCAAAUUUGAUCCCUGGCCUUGCCCAGUGGGCUAAGUAUCUGUGGUGAGCUGUGGUGCAGUUUGAAGAUGCAGCUCAGAUAUGGCAUUGCUGUGGUUGUGGUGUAGGCCAGCAGCUGCAGCUCUGAUUCGACCUGUAGCCUGGGAACUUCCAUAUGCCACAAGUACAGCCCUAAAAGGAAAAAAAAUAAAUAAAUACAUGGUUAAUUAUUCUCCUGUGUCACCUUCUCCCACAGCAGAAAUUCUUUUGUUUGUUCUUUUAAUUUUUUAUUAUAGUCAGUUUACAAUGUUGUGCCAAUUUCUGCUGUACAGUAAAGUAACUAAGCCAUACAUAUAUUUACAUUCUUUUUAAAAUAUUCUUUCCAUCAUAGUCUAUCCCAGGAGAUUCGACACAGUUUCCCUUGCUAUACAGUAGGACCUUAUUGUCCAUCCAUUCUAAAUGUAAUAGUUUGCAUCUACUAACCCCAAACUCCCUCCCCAUUCCACUCCCUCCUCCCUCUCCCUUGGCAACCACAAGUCUGUUCUCCAUGUCUGUGAGUCUUUCUGUUUUCUAGAUAGGUUCAUGUGGUGCCACAUUUUAGAUUGCACAUGUAAGUGAUACCAUAUGGUAUCUGUCUUUCUCCUUUGAACUUACUUCAAUUAGUAUGAGAAUCUCUAGUUGCAUUCUAAAAAUUUUAAGAGUAACAGGACCCAAAUCCAAUUUCCAAACAUGAAAUUCUGAUGAACAGGACCACAGAGCAGUAAUUCUGAUCUGAAUUGUGCUUAUUAAUACAAGCAGGCUAUUCCAUGGCACACACAGGUUCAAGAUGGGAGAUUAAGUUCAACAGCCAUUCAUUUAGAUUUGGUUUGAUUUUCUGCCAGUCUUAUGACUGACUUAAAACAGGUCCUAGGACAGAGAAUUUUUUGUUUGGUCGAGGGAAGCAGCAAAAUAGAGGAGCCACCCCAAAUUCCAGAUGAACAGAUAGAGUCAACAUUCUCUUUACACCAAAGUUACCCAUUUACUGCAGCAAAAUUUGAACCAAAAUGUUUAAAAUGCCACCUAAGUUAGGUCAAACAUCCUCUGUGGAAAGUAACCUGUUAGUAUAGAAAGGAAUGGAAAUGGUAAAGCUGAAAAGAAGCUGAAAACAAAAGACCUAUCAAUAGAUACAUUUUGCUUCCAAGACUCUACACUGCGUACAUGUCCUUAUUCAUCAUCCUCAGAAGAUGAAUUGAAGCUGAUUCAGUGUCACUUGCUUCUGCAGUAGUUUCCCAGGCAUCUUAGCUAGGAGACACCCUGCCCCCAGGGUAUUGAGGGCAAAUAAAUAUUUCAAGCCGACUGACAAUAGGAAAGAAUUGUAGGACAAGAAACUACCUGCAAUCCCUAGGUGGGAGUAUCCUGGAAAGUGACGUGCUGAAAUACCGACCCUUCCAGCUGGUUAACUCUGAGAUUCAAGCAUUUGCUUUAGUGAUAUGCA